rnacentral:lncRNA from 1 species
UCCUAAACUACUCCUUUCGUCUUUUAUCACUUCUAAACAUUUUAAUUGACCUCAAUAUGCAUUCGAUCAAUUUUAUUUAUCACCAUAUCAAAGUAUGGGGUAUUUCAAUUAUUCUCGCGAGUACCUUCGUCAAGGUAUCCCACUGAGACCGCCAAGGCUGUUAAAUGUCCCAUACCCAUAAACAUGUUUUCGCAUCUGACACACAGCCGUUCCUUAGCGUUGGCUGAGUCUCACUCUCACGUGGUGGCCCGAACGUGAGGUGCACUCAAAUCUUACCUCAAGAGAUACUUCAUUCAACAUCUCCCCGCGGAGGUAAAUAUAUAAUUGGGUUACCGUGCCCUUCUCAUAGGCAGUCCACGAAAACCCCCACCACUGCAGUGAC